rnacentral:rRNA from 1 species
UCCAGGCCCUACGGGGUGCAGCAGGCGCGAAACCUCCGCAAUGUGAGAAAUUGCGACGGGGGGAUCCCAAGUGCCAUUCUUAACGGGAUGGCUUUUCAUUAGUGUAAAGAGCUUUUGGAAUAAGAGCUGGGCAAGACCGGUGCCAGCCGCCGCGGUAACACCGGCAGCUCUAGUGGUAGCAGUUUUUAUUGGGCCUAAAGCGUCCGUAGCCGGUUUAAUAAGUCUCUGGUGAAAUCCUGCAGCUUAGCUGUGGGAAUUGCUGGAGAUACUAUUAGACUUGAGAUCGGGAGAGGUUAGAGGUACUCCCAGGGUAGAGGUGAAAUUCUGUAAUCCUGGGAGGACCGCCUGUUGCGAAGGCGUCUGACUGGAACGAUUCUGACGGUGAGGGACGAAAGCUAGGGGCGCGAACCGGAUUAGAUACCCGGGUAGUCCUAGCUGUAAACGAUGCGGACUUGGUGUUGGGGUGGCUUUGAGCUGUCCCAGUGCCGAAGGGAAGCUGUUAAGUCCGCCGCCUGGGAAGUACGGUCGCAGGACUGAAACUUAAAGGAAUUGGCGGGGGAGCACCACAACGCGUGGAGCCUGCGGUUUAAUUGGAGUCAACGCCGG